rnacentral:rRNA from 1 species
AACGAACGCUGGCGGCGCGCUUAACACAUGCAAGUCGGACGCACAUCUUCGGGUGUGAGUGGCGGACGGGUGAGUAACGCGUGGGAACCUGCCCUGAGAUCUGGGACAACCGCGGGAAACUGCGGCUAAUACCGGAUGUCUCCUACGGGAGAAAGGCUUUGGCCGUCUUGGGAGGGGCCCGCGUUGGAUUAGCUUGUUGGUGGGGUAAUGGCCUACCAAGGCUGCGAUCCAUAGCUGGUCUGAGAGGAUGAUCAGCCACACUGGGACUGAGACACGGCCCAGACUCCUACGGGAGGCUG